rnacentral:lncRNA from 13 species
AGGAGUAGGGGGGUAAAGGAUGGUGACUAGAUGUAGACCAGUCAUCAGGACAUUAAGGAGUAGGGGGGGUAAAGGAUGGAUGGUGACUAGAUGUAGACCAGUCAUCAGGACAUUAAGGAGUAGGGGGGGUAAAGGAUGGAUGGUGACUAGAUGAAGACCAGUCAUCAGGACAUUA